rnacentral:misc_RNA from 1 species
GAUGAAGAACGUAGCGAAAUGCGAUAAGUAAUGUGAAUUGCAGAAUCCAGUGAAUCAUCGAAUCUUUGAACGCAUCUUGCGCUCCUUGGUAUUCUGAGGAGCAUGCCUGUUUGAGUGUCAUUAAAUUCUCAACUACACUGACUUUGAAUUGGUGUGGCUUGGAUUUGGGGGGAAAAUUGUUGUGGGCUUUUUGUAUAGUCUGCUCCCCUGAAAUUGAUUAGCGGUACCUUUGUGGAACUGUCUACAGGUGUGAUAAUUAUCUACAUCUUAGACAUCUGCUGGAAUGCUGCUUUCUAAACCUUACUUGUAUUGACAAUCUUGACCUCAAAUCAGGUAGGACUACCCGCUGAACUUAAGCAUAUCAAUAAGCGGAGGA